rnacentral:rRNA from 1 species
CACGUAGGGGGCAAGCGUUGUCCGGAUUUAUUGGGCGUAAAGAGCGUGUAGGCGGUCUGGUAGGUCCGUUGUGAAAACUCGAGGCUCAACCUCGAGACGCCGAUGGAAACCAUCAGACUAGAGUCCGGAAGAGGAGAGUGGAAUUCCUGGUGUAGCGGUGAAAUGCGCAGAUAUCAGGAAGAACACCCGUGGCUAAGGCGGCUCUCUAGUACGGUACUGACGCUGAGACGCGAAAGCGUGGGGAGCGAACAGG